rnacentral:lncRNA from 1 species
GCCACUGGACUCACCCAGUUUAAAGACAGCAGGAUCUAGUCUCGGAUUAUUCCUGUGGUCCCGGUUUCUCUCUUCAGGCAGUCACUACAGGAGAAGAGGGAGUGAAAGAGAAGCCCCCUUAAUACCCUAAUUCUUUCCGAAGAUGAUUCAGGUUUUUGUAGCUUCAUUAGCAUUUGCAGAUAGAAAUACAUUUUAAGUGGCAUUAUGCUAAGUAAUUAUUCUUACAGGAUGUGAAAUUAAACACAUUUUACUCAGCAUGAAAUUAUUCCUGCCACGUACUGAGUUUGGUGACAGCUUGAGAGUUUGGACAGUGGGUUGCAAGAAGGGGAGAAGCAAUCGAUGUAUUAAAAAAGAAAUCCAACCCCAAAUAUUCCACCAAAGCUCUGAAACACAGGGGAUGUGCCCUGCCCUGGGCAGGAGGAGCCCUGGAUCCUUCAUCACAGCAUGAGAGUUGUGAAUUCUGUUUGACACCAUCCUUAUGGCUAAUGUGCACAUCAGAUGCAAUGCAGGUGGAAGUGUCUUAAAAAAGGGACCAGUGAGGAGCAGCCUGCCCCACCUCAUGAGGUGCCCACAUCAGAUCCGAGCCUGCGCAUUGCUUCAGCAUGUGCCCUCCCCUGUCCCUCCAAGACGGGUGCCAAAGGCUUGUUUCCUGUAUGAAAAAGAAAGCAGAACGUGGCAGUGGAUGAUCUAUUGUCAUUAUUGAGGUGCAUUACGUGGCAAGGAGAUUUAGGGACCCAGAACAGCUAAGCGACACCUCGGCUCCCCAGGGCAGUAUUUGAAAGUGACGUCACCCCAAUACCCAAUUCAAAAUCACACCUUUUAACCUCCACAAUCAUCCAAGAUCCAUAUCAAGUUUGAUUCCGGUAAGAUGCCUCGAUAUUCUAAAUUAUUUGUCAGCCUGGCACGGCAAAUAAACAUUUGUGAAAUUCAUUUCAAAAGAUGUUAACACUGGUGAAACCCACGUGCCCCCAGAGGGAUUAUACAAAUUUCCAUGUCAAAUAUUUGAGGCAAAGCACUUGUAGAGAAACAGUGUUUUUUUGUGUUUUGAUGCCUUUCAUUUCCAUAAACUAGAUUACUUUCUGAAAUUACUUUCACACAGAGAACAGUUUCUAUUGAAUUCCAGUCAGUGAACUCCUCUGAGUGUGAGGUGAAUAAAAUAUCUCGGGGCUGUGGGGCUUCCUUGAUGCAUAUGCACCCGUGUUGUGUAAGGAAGGCAAACCAAGUUGAGAUGUUAUCUUUAGAGAGCUCAUGUACCCAGAUCUGCUGUCUUACGGUAAUUGCUAAACAACCAAUUCAUUUAGAGCCUAACAAGGAAGCUCUAGG